rnacentral:rRNA from 1 species
UACAGAGGUCCCAAGCGUUGUUCGGAUUCACUGGGCGUAAAGGGUGCGUAGGCGGUCGGGUAAGUCUGAUGUGAAAUCUCACAGCUUAACUGUGAAACUGCAUUGGAUACUAUUCGGCUUGAGAGUUGGAGGGGGGACUGGAAUUCUUGGUGUAGCAGUGAAAUGCGUAGAUAUCAAGAGGAACACCAGUGGCGAAGGCGAGUCCCUGGACAACUUCUGACGCUGAGCACGAAGCUAGGGAGCAAACAGG